rnacentral:misc_RNA from 1 species
AAGUCGUAACAAGGUCUCCGUUGGUGAACCAGCGGAGGGAUCAUUGCUGGAACGCGCUUCGGCGCACCCAGAAACCCUUUGUGAACUUAUACCUACUGUUGCCUCGGCGCAGGCCGGCCUUUUGUGACAAAGGCCCCCUGGAGACAGGGAGCAGCCCGCCGGCGGCCAACCAAACUCUUGUUUCUACAGUGAAUCUCUGAGUACAAAACAUAAAUGAAUCAAAACUUUCAACAACGGAUCUCUUGGUUCUG